rnacentral:lncRNA from 1 species
CAAUAGUCUGAAGUACCAUUUUGAGUGUGCCACUGAGGACGUUUAAAUCAAAGCCAGUGGAAAGAACUUCCUAGCUUCUCAUAGCUUGAUAGUGGACAACUUUACUUCUAAAAGAUGGAACUGAAGAUGCCGCAAUCCAAAGUUCGUAGUGAGACAUCACAGUUCUGAUAAAUGUGUUGCCCUUGUGCUCAUGCACCUUUGUGAGGAUCAGGACCCACUGCGGCAAACAUAAACCCACCUGGCAUGGCUCUACUCUUGCUCCAGAAGGUUGUGGCUCGUUGUUCGAGAGACCAAUGGGUGAGCCAAAAACAGGAGGAAAAGCAGAGGAGAAAGCCUGCAACACAUCUACUCAGAUGAUAGACUCUGAUCUGAAUGUG